rnacentral:rRNA from 1 species
AGUGAACGCUGGCGGCGUGCUUAACACAUGUAAGUCGAACGAGAACGGAAUAUAGCUUGCUAUAUUUGUCAGCUAAGUGGCGCACGGGUGAGUAAUGUAUAGAUAACCUGCCCUUAAGAAAGGAAUAACAGUUGGAAACGGCUGCUAAUACCCCAUACUCCUUCUUAUCAUAAGAUAAGUUGGGAAAGAUUUAUUGCUAAAGGAUGGGGCUUUAUUGUAUCAGCUAGUUGGUGGGGUAACGGCCUACCAGGGCGAUGACGCAUACCUGGUCUGAGAGGAAGAUAAGGCACACUGGAAGUUAGACACGGUCCAAACUCCUACGGGAGGAAGCAGUGGGGAAUAUUGCACAAUGGGGGAAACCCUGAUGCAGCAACGCCGCGUGGAGGAUGACUCAUUUCGGUGUGUAAACUCCUUUUAUAAGGGAAGAUAAUGACGGUACCUUAUGAAUAAGCACCGGCUAACUCCGUGCCAGCAGCCGCCGUAA